CACGAACGCUGGCGGCAGGCUUAACACAUGCAAGUCGAGCGCCCCGCAAGGGGAGCGGCAGACGGGUGAGUAACGCGUGGGAAUCUACCCAUCUCUACAGAAUAACGCAUGGAAACGUGUGCUAAUACCGUAUACAUCCUUCGGGAGAAAGAUUUAUCGGAGAUGGAUGAGCCCGCGUUGGAUUAGCUAGUUGGUGGGGUAAAGGCCUACCAAGGCGACGAUCCAUAGCUGGUCUGAGAGGCUGAUCAGCCACACUGGGACUGAGACACGGCCCAGACUCCUACGGGAGGCAGCAGUGGGGAAUAUUGGACAAUGGGCGCAAGCCUGAUCCAGCCAUGCCGCGUGAGUGAUGAAGGCCCUAGGGUUGUAAAGCUCUUUCACCGGUGAAGAUAAUGACGGUAACCGGAGAAGAAGCCCCGGCUAACUUCGUGCCAGCCGCCGCCGUAAUAC
rnacentral:rRNA from 1 species